CGCUGGCGGCACGCCUUAUACAUGCAAGUCGAACGAAGUAGCAAUACUUAGUGGCAGACGGGUGAGUAACAUGUAGGUAUCUUCCCUUUGGUGAGGAAUAACGCGAGGAAACUUGCGCUAAUACCUCAUAAGUCUUUACAGAGAAAGCUUUAUGCGCCGAAGGAUGAGCCUGCACUUGAUUAGUUUGUUGGUGGGGUAAUGGCCUACCAAGACUUUGAUCAAUAGCUGAUCUGAGAGGAUGAUCAGCCACAUUGGGACUGAGACACGGCCCAAACUCCUACGGGAGGCAGCAGUAGGGAAUAUUGCACAAUGGAGGAAACUCUGAUGCAGCGAUGCCGCGUGAGUGAAGAAGGCCUUUGGGUUGUAAAGCUCUUUCGUCGGGGAAGAAAAUGACUGUACCCGAAUAAGAAGGUCCGGCUAACUUCGUGCCAGCAGCCGCGGUAAUACGAAGGGACCUAGCGUAGUUCGGAAUUACUGGGCUUAAAGAGUUCGUAGGUGGUUAAAAAAGUUGGUGGUGAAAUCCCAGAGCUUAACUCUGGAACUGCCAUCAAAACUUUUUAGCUAGAGUAUGAUAGAGGAAAGCAGAAUUUCUAGUGUAGAGGUGAAAUUCGUAGAUAUUAGAAAGAAUACCAAUUGCGAAGGCAGCUUUCUGGAUCAUUACUGACGCUGAGGAACGAAAGCAUGGGUAGCGAAGAGGAUUAGAUACCCUCGUAGUCCAUGCCGUAAACGAUGUGUGUUAGACGUUGGAAAUUUAUUUUCAGUGUCGCAGCGAAAGCAUUAAACACACCGCCUGGGGAGUACGACC
rnacentral:rRNA from 1 species